rnacentral:rRNA from 1 species
GACGAACGCUGGCGGCGUGCUUAACACAUGCAAGUCGAACGGAAAGGCCCUGCUUGCAGGGUACUCGAGUGGCGAACGGGUGAGUAACACGUGGGUGAUCUGCCCUGCACUUCGGGAUAAGCCUGGACAACUGGGUCUAAUACCGGAUAGGAGCCAUUUUUAGUGUGAUGGUUGGAAAGUUUUUUCGGUGUAGGAUGAGCUCGCGGCCUAUCAGCUUGUUGGUGGGGUAAUGGCCUACCAAGGCGGCGACGGGUAGCCGGCCUGAGAGGGUGGACGGCCACAUUGGGACUGAGAUACGGCCCAGACUCCUACGGGAGGCAGCAGUGGGGAAGAUUGCACAAUGGGCGCAAGCCUGAUGCAGCGACGCCGCGUGGGGGAUGACGGCCUUCGGGUUGUAAACUCCUUUCGCUAGGGACGAAGCUUUUUGUGACGGUACCUAGAUAAGAAGCACCGGCUAACUACGUG